rnacentral:lncRNA from 1 species
GCUUUGAUCUUUCUCCAAAUUAAGAACAAAUCCUUAGUUCUUCUCAACUACUUAACGAUAUUUUCACAGCAAUCCAGUACUCCUAGUCUGGAUACAACUGAUAUCUAUUUAUGACAUUCAUAGUAUUAACUAUAUCAGUUCAAGUAUAAUACAUAGCAUACAUCUAUGUCCGAGAGGAUAGCAUAACUCUCUCCAAGAUUUC